rnacentral:SRP_RNA from 1 species
GCCAGGUGUGGUGCCGCAUGCCUGUAGUCCCAGUUACUCCAGAGGCUGAGGCAGGAGGAUUGCUUGAGCCCAGGAGCUUGAGGCUUCAGUGAGUGAUCAGGAUGCUACUGUGCUACAGCCUGGGCAAGAGGGCAAGACCCUGCCUCAA